rnacentral:lncRNA from 1 species
AUGAGGAAGGAGGUCAGCCCGUAUCCGGCCGUCCAGGCCUGCAUCCUCCUUGAGCGGGAUCAGGUGGACCGCAUGCUAUUUCCAGGUGUUUCCAAGUCCGUUGGGGUGGGGCAUGUAAGACUGCUCCUUGUCAGCUGGCCUCCUGACGCAGCUGUUCAACAGCCUUUCUUCUGGCACGGUGACAAAGCUGACGUGGCUCUUAGCCUAAACGACUCCAUUUUGUGGAGCAGCCAUUUUAAGAUGAGGACCCUGAAUUCAAAUACCUCUCAGAUGAAGACCCGGAUUGACCACACUCAGUUCAGGUGAGUACUCUAUUUCUCUGAGCUCCUUGCGAAUUCAUCUCUUAGCUGGAGCAGCAACAAGAGCACAUAGUCCAGUUCCCUCAGAGUGAAAGCGAUAGAUUCGCACUUACUGGGCUCCCUCUGGCCCCUCAUCCUGGGCUUGGCAGAGCCAUGUGGUUUGGAAUAUCAGAAGCAGUCAAAGUGGAGUCCAAGCUUCUUGCCACUGUGCUGGCAGCUCUAUUCUUCGGGUAGAGUUGUGAUGAGAUUUAAAUUGCACUCCAAUUAAGCUUUUCCUCUCUAGGUCCUCAGGGAGCAUUCUCUGGCUUGGACCAUGCACUUGUAAGAGCUAAUGCCAUUAUCAGACGCUGUUCAUCUCAUAUAAAUAAGCCCAUUAGCGCCUUGUCUGUCUGGCCAUGUACUUUCCUGCCACUGCUCAGAGUUCCCAAACACAUUUCCAAUCAGGCAAGCAGAGGAAAAUGUUAACAGCAAUAGCAUUCACUGUAUGGUUUUAUUUCCUGUCUCAUUAUUUUCCAGCUUUUAAACUAAUAAUUGGUAACAUCUGUCAUAUACUUAUUGUGUGCAAGGUACUGUGCUGUUUUUACAUAGGUUGCCUCAUUUCACCUUGACAGUAGAUCUAAAAGUAGGUACUACUUAAUCCCACUUUACAGGAUGAGCAAACAGAAGCUUAUAGAGGUUAAUUUGGUGUCUUCGGUGACGUAAUUAUUAAGUAGUAGAUUUAAGAUUUGAACCCAGACAGCCUGACUCCAGAACCCACCCCUUAACUUAACCAUGAUACUCCUUCCAGUUCUGAAUGGCCUUAUUUAUAAAAUAGUGGAUUCUGGCCGUUUUGAAGGUGAAAUUCUGAUAUGUUUAGGGGACAAGAGUAUGGUGGAGACUACUAGUGUUCCUGUAAAGUUUCCAUCUCCGUUGUAGUUGACUUGGGGCCAUGUGACUAUGUCUGGCCCAUUAGGUGCAAGCUGAAGUGAUAUGUGUUAUUUUCAAUACUCCCCGCACUAUCAGCCAAUUUAUCUCUCCGGCCUAUGGUUUCAGAAAGUGAAGAUCUCAGAGAUGGCAAAAUUGUCACAUGUAAGUUGCUUGGUGCUGCUUGGAGAGAGUCACAGUUAUCUGACCUGCAUUGGAUGGUGACAUGAGUGGGAAAUAAACUUUUGUUAGGUUAGACCACUUAGAUUUUGGGGUUUAUUAUCAUACUGUAUCUUAUCAUACUGUAAUAUAAACAUUGUGUAGACAGUUCCUGUCUUACGAUAGUUCAACUUAGAAUUUUUUUGACUUUAUGAUGGUGUAAAAAUGAUACCAUACUUUGAAUUUUGAUCUUUUCCCAGGCUAGCAAUAUGUAGUACAAUACUCUCUUGUGAUGCUAGGCAGUGGCAAUGAACUGUAGCUCCCAGUCAGCCAUGCAAUCAGUAGGGGAAACAACUGAUGCACUUACAACCAUUGUUUUUCACUUUCAGUACAGUAUUCAAUAAAUUAUAUGAGGUAUGCAACACUUUAUUAUAAAAUAGGCUUUACAUUAGUUGAUUUUGCCCAAUUGUAGGCUAAUGUAAGCAAUCUGAGCACAUUUAAGGUACGCUAGGCUAAGCUGUUAUGUAGGACAUACAUUUUCGACUCAUGAUAGUUUCUUUUUUUUUUUUUUAAGAUUUUAUUUAUUUAUUAAUGAGGGAUGCAGAGAGAGACGCAGAGACAUAGGCAGAGGGUGAGGCAAGCUGCUUAUUGGGAGCCUGAUGUAGGACUCGAUACCAGGACUCCGGGAUCAUGACCAGAGCCAAAGGCAGAUGCUCAACCACUGAGCCACCCAGGUGCCCCUCGACUGAUAAUAUUUUCAACCUACAAUGCAUUUAUUGGGACAUAGCCCCACUGUAAGUUAAGGAAGAUCUGUACAAAUACACAAAUUGGUAUCUCAAAGUAGGGCACUGCUCUAACAGCUUAAUGGUCUGAGAGGAAAACUAACGUUGGAGACUGGUAAUGUCUCAGUGCAUGUUCUGUGGUGCUGAAACAUUAUCAACUGCUCUAACUUGGGAGGCAGAAUGCAUGUUUACUUACAUGACAUCUCUAGGAGAAGAAAUGGAAAAACAGAACAUUAGUGGUGCAUGUUGGCUACUAUGGGUUGCACCUCACAAAGUUUCACAAGAAAAAGAUGGCCUCAGAAUAAAAUUGUCCAGAGACUGUCAGAAUGGGUAAAAAGAAAGCAAACAAACAAACAGACACCCACGAUCCACUAUGUAUUGUGUACAAGAGAUGCAUAUUAGAUUCAAAGACAGAAAUAGGUUGACAGUAAAAGGAUGGAAAAACAUAUACCAUGCGAAUAGUAGCCAAAAGAAAGCUGGAAUGGCUACACUAAUAAUAGGGGGGAAAAAAACCUUUAAGACAAAAAUUGUUACUAGAAACAGAGAAGAACAGAUUUAGUUUUUUUUUUUUAAUUGCAAAAGAAUCAACCAAUCAAGAAGGUAUAAAAAAAUUUUUUUAGGUAUAAAAAUUAUAACACAUGUGCAUCGAACAACAGAGCCCCAAAAUACACAAAGCAAAAACUAAAAGAACUAAGAGAGACAAAUACUACAAUAAGAGAUGAGGACUUUAAAUUUUUUUUUUUUUUUUUUUUUAAUUUUAUUUAUUUAUGAUAGUCACAUAGAGAGAGAGAGAGAGGCAGAGACAUAGGCAGAGGGAGAAGCAGGCUCCAUGCACCGGGAGCCUGACGUGGGAUUCGAUCCGGGGUCUCCAGGAUCGCGCCCUGGGCCAAAGGCAGGCGCCAAACCGCUGCGCCACCCAGGGAUCCCAGAUGAGGACUUUAAUACCCCACUCUCAUUAAUGGAUAGGAUAUCCAGGGGACUUAAAAGAUCAAAAAGGAUGUAGAGACUUGAACAACAAUAUAAACAAAUUAAACCUAAUACAAUAGACAGCAAAAAAAACUUCCACUCAACAACAUCAUAAAAUACAUUCUUUUCAAGUGCACAUAGAACAUUCUCUAUAAUGGACUAUAUGUCAAGCCAUAAAACAAGUCUCAAUGCAUUUAAAAGGUUUAGAAUAAUAUAUGUUCCUUGACCACAAAAGAAUGAGAUUAGAAAUAAAAAACAGAAGGAAAUUCAUAAACGUGGAAAUGAAACAUAUUUCUUCGGGAUAAUCAAUGGUCGAAGAAACCAAAGGGAAAUUAGAAAAUGCUUUGAGAUGAAUAAAAAUGAAAACAUAGCAUACUAAAGCUUACAGGAUAUAAUGAAAGCAGUACA